GAGGACAGGGCGUGGGGUGGGGGGUGGAACUCCCACAGGCACAGCCUGCAGCCAGGAGACAAAAGUUCUUCUGUCAUCUGCCAGGUGGAGGGAGAGCAGUGCACCCACUCUCUGCAGGUUCAGGAUGUGCAGCAGCAUCACCUUCUCUUCCUCACCGUCAACAUCUGGAUAACAGGGCACAGCGAGGACUGGAUACUUCAAGAAUGUUUUGUCCGGGAUGAGUGUGUGCCCCACCAGUGUGGGGAGAUGCAGGGAGAAUAAGAACCUUCUGCAACAGAAUCCAGUUUACAGGAAGAAGAAGAAGAACAGAUACUAAGAGGAAGAGGGGAACUGUGAGAUUAGGAUGGAGGCCAGUGAAUGGUCCAUGACUGGCAGCACAAUAACCAUGGGGGAAUUGGGAAGAGAGGCUCUUCUUUGCUGCCUAUGAGGGUUCCCAGAUGCAGUCUGAAGUGUGGGUUGUGGGACAACAGAAUGGUACAGAUUGAAGUUGGGUGGGAGAUGGAUUGGGGGGCCUGUCCCUUUGCUGGCUGCUUACAGCCAUGGACUUGAGGUAUGGGCAGGAGCUGUCACUGGAAGCAGGAGAAGAUGGAAAAAUCACCGCCAUAGAAGGGGGGGUAGUGUCCAUGGCCGUGUCCUCAGGCAGCACAGUGGGAUGCUGGGAAAGAUGAGCUGAUGACUUUGCUAUGGUGGUUGGGGGGACACUCCUAGCAGAGUCCUGGCCCUGGGUAUUGGGGCUAUGAGUGGAAGGGACUAGAGCAGGUCUUGGAAGGAAUGAGGAGAAGGAGGAAGAGGAGCAGCAGGAGGAGCAGCCAAAGGAGAGGGAUUAUUAGGAGGAGGAAGAGGAGGAGGAGGAGGGAAUGGAGAAGGGGAAAGAGAAGAAAAUGAAGGGGGAAGAGAAGGAGGAGGAAGAGAAAGAGGAGAAGGAGAAUCAAUACACAUGGGGGUUGGGGAUUCCAUUCUUGAAGAGGUAGACUUGGAGGGGAAAGGGACCUGGGUAUGAGGUGUGGGAAUUUGGGAAUUGGGAGGUGCCACAGGUCUUGCCAGGUGUGUGGUUUGAUGAAACACAUUAGGGGUAACACCCACACUGGGACUGGGCCUGAAGGAAAAAAGAGGGUUAGUGGGAGGAGGCAGAGGAAUGGAAGUUGGGAUUUCCCCCUCAUCUUUAUUAGGUGAGGUGGAAGGUCGAGGGAUAGAUAGGUUCAGGGGCCCAGUAGGCUGGAACUCCAACUGCCUGUUGACAAGGAUACUUGGGAUGGGGGAGGGGUCAGUGGGUGGGGGAAGUGGGCCUGCAUUCCAGGCAGGGACUGCAGGUGGGAAGAAAGAAUGGACAGACUGAGUGGUGGUGCAGUCCUCCAGAGACUCUCUUCUGCCCUGUAAGACCUCUGCAUCAGCCUCCAAGUUCUUCCUCUUCGCACUCUGAACCUCCCUCAUCAGGGUGCCUGAGUCUUCCUCUGGACACAAAAGUGGCCGCUUAGCAGGUGGGGGGCAGCCCAUCUUGAUGCCAGGGCUUCAACAAUGUCAGGGCCACCGGCAUGGGCUGUUUUCUUUUCUUGGGCCUCCAGGUAGCAGCACUUUGUGGAUGACAGCUCUGUGAUGGAAGACAGGAAGGCUUUUGGCCCUGCACUCCCUUGAUGGAUGCCUAGGAGCCUGGAGAGAUGGGACAAUCAAGUUCGUCUAGGCUCUCCUUGGCCCACUUGUCCUGCAUUAAGCAGCCCUCAGCAUUAAGCAGGGUGAGCACUCCUUGAGCAGGGCAGUGGGAGCUGCAGGUGGCAGGGCUCCCACAUGACAAGUUCUUGGGAGACACCUGGGCCCUCUCUGGAAUGCUGUUUCCUUCUAGGGGCCAAGAACUGGGCUCCAGUGCACUGAAGUCUCCCUGAGUCUCCAGAGGACAUGUUGGUGUUGCUUUCCCUUUGCUCAGGGCACCCCUCUGCAGAUCCUCCUGCCUCUUUUGCCAUUGGGAACUGCCCUGCUCCUCCUCCUCCUUCAUCUUCUCCUCCUCCUUUCCUCCUUCUCCACCACCUCUUCUUCCACCUCUUUCUCCUCUUCUUCCAGUUCCUCCUCCUCCUCCUCCUCCUCCUGGUGAACCUUGCCUUCUUCACGCUGUUCAUGGGCCCUGAGCUCUGCUUCUUCUGGAUCACCAACAGGGAAGUGAGCUGGUAUCAUGGGCCCCUCAGUCUGGUGGACCUGCUGAUAAAGUGGCCUUCACCAAGGAGUGGCCUGCACUGAGGAGUGGCCUGCACUGAGGAGGAGGGAUCCUUACAGUUGUCCAGGGUUCAAACAUCCACGAGUUCCUAAGUGAUAGGUCUGGCUUUAUGUGGAAGGACCUCCAGGACAGCAGCAGCAGGAUCCCCAGAGAGGAGUGCACCACCUGCAGGAGAGGGUCUCUGUUGCAGCCAGCUACAUAAGGCACCCGAGGUCAGGGAUCUUGGUGGACAUGCCUGCAGGCAGGGCUGAUGGAAGAGGCUGGUACAGCGGGGUGAUUCCUGCGAGGAGUGGGAGCAUUUCAGGCCUGAUGGAUGGGUGUCUGAUGGUCUAAGAGGGCCCAGCAGCGUGGCCUGCGACUGUGCUUGCUCAAUAGACUGCCCAUUGAGGGAACCUGUUGCUCUUCUGAUCCAACAGUAGUCAGAAGUGCAGAGGAGCUCGGCAAUCACCAGCUCCCCUGGAGACCAAAAGCUAAACUCUAUGUUUAACCCUUGUGAUGUGUGGCUGGCACGCAUGACGGAGAAGGGACUUGGGGCCAAGAAGGUUGGUCAAAAGAAGGCCUCCAGGGUAAAGAGACCCUACCCCCACUGUCCCCUCUUGCUCUGAGCUUAGUGCUCCUCCAGACUCUGCGCUGCUUCUUAUCCCACACCCACCACACAAUUUUCUCACCACUUCAAAGGGUCAUUCUGAGGCUGCUUUCCUUUUGGUUAUUUAGGCCGUCGUUCUACAUAAUAUCUCUAUGGAUUCUACUUGACAUGACUGUAGCCAUCCAGAGUUGAAACAACCAUCAAUUGACCCCAAAUAGCUCUAGUCAAUUUUUCCUCCAUAGUUCCCACCAUACUAUCAAUUUAGAAAACCAUUACAGUGGUCCCUGGAACUGUCCCACAGGAUUCUUGAGCCAGUAAUGGUGCCUGACUGUGUGUGAUAUUACUUCAGGUAAAAUAAGUUCAUUUUGUUUGGGAAGAAUUCCCUUUCAUCCUAACCAAAGCAUAUACAUAUCCUUUUCUCUAAACCAUAUUGAAGGUGUGCAGUAUUCUUCCUGUUGCCUAGCGUCAUAUUUCACUUGGGACACCCAAAGUCAGCACUGAGCAGCCCUUUGCUGCCAAACCAGCUCGAUUUUUUCCAAAUACACUACAUGUUCUGCUCAAUAUUUAGACACAUUAGCCCAGUCUUCCUGAGGUUCUGUAGCACCCCUGAGUUUCCAGUUUCAUCAGGCUGCAUGGGCUUCAUGUGGAGGGAGGCGGACCCUGAUCUAGCUUCACCUUUGGAUCCCUGAGCAUCACAGCAGACAAAAGAGGGGGCUCUGGGCACCAUACACUGCUCUAGGGGAAUCUUUAUCCUGAAUUCAUGGAGGUCUCUGAUCCUCAGAACCCCCCCGGGUGUCCAGGGGAGUCAACUCUGUGAUUAAUCCUGCUAUCAGACAUGAUUGCUCCUACUUUUACCCCAUCCCUGGGGUCAAAACAGGGAGAAACCUCUAGCUUUGGUGCCCAGUUGCUCUGUAGCAAGGGUGCCUCCAGGGCACAUCUGCUGGAUAAAUUGCUCAUUAAUAAGAUUUCAUGGGAUGUUUAAACUGGCCUAUUUCAUCUUUACAUGCACAGGAAUAUUGCAUAUGUUCCCUGUGCCACACCAAAUACCAGGCAAGAAGGAGAAAAAUGCAGCAGUUCCAUUUCCCCCACAUCUUUUGCUUUCCUUGGCUUCAGUUACCUGUGAUCAGCAAGGCUCAAAAAGUGUUGUCUUACUCGCAGAGACAAAGACUACAUUCGAACGAAUUUUAUUAGAGUGUAUUAUAACUGUUCCAUUUCACUAUUGUUAACCUCUUCUAGUGCCUGCUCUAAAGUGAGCUUUUUAACUGUGCAUUGUGUAGGAUAAAGCCAUGUAUCCAGGGCUCAGUUCUCAUUAUUUCCAGUGUCCACUGGGGGCCUUUGAACAUAUUACAUGCAGAGAAAGAGGUCUACUGCAUGAGCUGUCGGGGGCCCAGAUAUUCUGUAUUUGAAAUGGUCAGUAAAGCUGCCAUUCCUCAUUUAGCUUGAAGUGGAUCUGAUGGAAAAAAAAAAAAAACCAGAAGCUCUCCACAAUAAUAGCAGCUCACAGGCUCAAACAUCAUACAGAUCUGAAGUGAGGCCUAUCUGAAGGAAGAUGAUAUUUGGGUUUCAAAUACAUAUUGGAUACAGAAGACAGAAAAACUUUAAUAACCUAAAAAUUGAUGUACAUAAUAAAAUAAUCAUUCUCUGGGUAUUGUAAUGAAUUUACCAUGCAUAUUUUAAUUGAUUUUUGUGGUUAGUAAAAAAUAUGCAGGUACAAAUGAGUCAUGUGACAUGUAAUUUUCUCUAGGAUAAUGCUGGCUUAUGCUCAGGGACUCCUUCACCACCCAGUGGGUCCAACCUGACUGGAACACAGACCCAGAGCAGCAGCUGCCAGCUGGAUUGAGACUGUGGGGAAAAUUCAAGUUGCCACAUUCCAUAGUCGCCCAAGCUGGGAUCUGACUGAGUGAAGAAAGACCAUUACUCCACCCGGCUAUUGAGAAUGCUGUCCUUCUCAGCAAGGGACCCAGUGUCCCUAUGGGUACAUGAUGUCCCUAGCAGGGAGGUGAUCCCAGACACCACUUGCUGUCCUCAUCACUUUAAGAGAGUUCCGUUCCUGGAACCUCACUCUCUUAUAUAAUUCUCCUCCUACAGAAAGCCCCAAAAUCAAAAUACUUUUAAAAACACAUGAUUAAGAUCACCACCCUGAGAGUCUUGUCAUACCUCUGCCUGAUUCUGAAGUGGGUCAGAUGUAGAGUAAGAUCCUCCCAGAGGAGUUUUUGCAUACAAGGUCUCUCUUCUUCCCUCUUAUACAUUCCGUCUCAUUCUUUUUGUGACACAAUCAUUACUUGAAUAAAGGAGUUGCUUAUGUUUCUGAAGACACAUAAAGUACAUCAUGCAAAGCAGAGCAAUUUAUCCUGAGGGGGUGUACUUUAUUGAUUCAGAUGGAUUCCUUAUUCUGGAUUACCUCCUCGGUGUUAUGUCUGUAUACGACUAAAAUUAAAUUGUGAACAAAAAUUUUUAAAAGUAUCCAUUAGGACCUAUUAUUAUUGUUGUUGAAACCCAUGAAGCUAUUAUUUAAAAGGAUCACCUCUCCCCUCCUGUAAAACUACCUUCUUUGGAGGUUGAGGAAGUUAAUUAAUCCAAAUCAAUUCCUCUAUAAAGCAUACUGAAGAGCACAAUGAUGGCUGUAAAAGGUCUUUUUUCUGUGAUUGGGACGAUCCUAUUGAAAGUUUGGAAACCAAAUUCAAAACCUAUUCCAAUCAGCAAUUCAAAAACAUGUUGCUUUUUCCCCCUUUUUAGUCACCAUACCCAGAGGAAUAUAUAUUUUAGUAAUGUUACUAUAUCUUUAGUACCACAACUUACACAAAAUUCGAUCCACUUUUUUAAAGUCUUAGAACUAGUUACUCAUGGCUUUGCAAGACUCACAGGUGAUUAGAAUUUGAAGAUUGAAUGAAAAACCAUCAGAGGCCAGGCUUGUCUGGGCAGGAUUAGAUAUUUAAGUUAUUUAGAUAUGUUUCAUUUCCUAGGGAAUAAUUUGCAUAUCUUUCCAGCCACACUGAUCAUUUCAAAUCAAAGGAAAGACACAUCCAGCUCUCAAAGCAUAAUGUUUAUUAGACAAAUUCAAAAUUACACACCUGAACAUAGUGAAAAAAUACUCAGUUAAACCCUUUCAAAUUGAGUUUGCCUGGAGUAUUGCAAUCAAGCCCCCAGGACUUCGGGAGACAGCCUGAAGGACAGAUCAGGGUAUUUCUGCAGGAAUAAGGGUCUCACUCACCUGUGAUGGGGAGGGGAACCCUACACUUUCAGAUCUCACUGUCUGAAACUGCUCAGCAGUCAUUGAAGACGCCCCUCCCAUCACUGAUUGGAUCCUGUGUUGAUGACAUUCCUCUGAGCCCUCACUCUAUCUCUUUCCAUAGAAGAGGAAGAAAGCAAAAAUGAAAGUUCUGUUUCAUCUCCUGGAAAACUGAAACACCAAGGCUCUAACUAAACAUGUCUUUAAUUUCCUCAUGUGUUCAUGUGAAGAAAAAAACACAAAUUAACCACUGAAUACAGCUUGAAGCC
rnacentral:lncRNA from 1 species